GCUUGCUCCCGGAUGUUAGCGGCGGACGGGUGAGUAACACGUGGGUAACCUGCCUGUAAGACUGGGAUAACUCCGGGAAACCGGAGCUAAUACCGGAUAGUUCCUUGAACCGCAUGGUUCAAGGAUGAAAGACGGUUUCGGCUGUCACUUACAGAUGGACCCGCGGCGCAUUAGCUAGUUGGUGAGGUAACGGCUCACCAAGGCGACGAUGCGUAGCCGACCUGAGAGGGUGAUCGGCCACACUGGGACUGAGACACGGCCCAGACUCCUACGGGAGGCAGCAGUAGGGAAUCUUCCGCAAUGGACGAAAGUCUGACGGAGCAACGCCGCGUGAGUGAUGAAGGUUUUCGGAUCGUAAAGCUCUGUUGUUAGGGAAGAACAAGUGCAAGAGUAACUGCUUGCACCUUGACGGUACCUAACCAGAAAGCCACGGCUAACUACGUGCCAGCAGCCGCGGUAAUACGUAGGUGGCAAGCGUUGUCCGGAAUUAUUGGGCGUAAAGGGCUCGCAGGCGGUUUCUUAAGUCUGAUGUGAAAGCCCCCGGCUCAACCGGGGAGGGUCAUUGGAAACUGGGAAACUUGAGUGCAGAAGAGGAGAGUGGAAUUCCACGUGUAGCGGUGAAAUGCGUAGAGAUGUGGAGGAACACCAGUGGCGAAGGCGACUCUCUGGUCUGUAACUGACGCUGAGGAGCGAAAGCGUGGGGAGCGAACAGGAUUAGAUACCCUGGUAGUCCACGCCGUAAACGAUGAGUGCUAAGUGUUAGGGGGUUUCCGCCCCUUAGUGCUGCAGCUAACGCAUU
rnacentral:rRNA from 1 species